AUGCAUUUCUUAACUAAGUCCUAUGAUCUGCUUAGUAGUGUGUACAAGAUGCUGCGUCCUUUCUCUUACUGUUGGUUGCAGAGGCUGUACCUAAAGGCUAAAAGGAUACUGGAGCUUAUGAACGUGGAGAAACUCAGAAGGGAAAAUAUUGCAACUCAUCUACAGGUAUUGCGGUAUGGCAUUUACUUCCAUAAUGACCUUACUAUUCGAGUGUUAUGCCUUCCAUCCAUGAUUCAUGAGCAUUUGAUGCAGAGAGAGAGAGAAACUUUUACAGAAUUGGUACCAAUAUUAUCUGCAAAGUGGCCUUCUUAUCCUGUAUCAAAUUAA
rnacentral:rRNA from 1 species